ensembl:lncRNA
UGCAUACUUACAUUUUUGAAAAAGAAAACUAAGAAAAAAAAAACAGUGGAGCAACCUAUCGCUGUGAUCUUCGUUAAAAUGGUUUGACUUUAUGUCUAUGAGAAGCUUCAUAAACCAUUAGUGAUAUAAACACUCAUCUAUCGAUAUGACACUUUGCUGCUCUGACCUCACUGUACCUCUCCACGCUGGUUCUCCCAAAGGUGCAAUACAUAGGGUGUAAUGGAGACCACAGGCAUGAUAUCAUCAUGAUUCUUAUUUCAAAUUUUAAACAGAUUCAAUGGUGUAUAUCUAUUAAUAACACCCACAGAACUUUGGUCUCCUCCCACAUUUCAUCGAGUACAAAUGAGUUUAGACACAAAAUCCUAUCUUGGCAACUAUAAUGAAAAUGUCAAUGUAAUAAGGAAAUCAAAGUACAUCCCUGGUAAUAAUAAAGAGAACUGGCAAUUCCACAACAGCAGAAUAAUGCGGAGACCCAGAUAUUUUAAACAUGAAUGCCAAACAAAAUCCAUAAUUGAUAAUGAAAAAGUGAAAAACAACUAUGCACAAUGACAGAAUGUCUAAUGUAAAUGUUACCCAAACACAUUCACUUCAAGUACAGUGCAGAUUCAAAGUUUGGUAGCAGUAUAAAGGUUAGUGCGGUCUGUGCCGUCACAUUUUAUUACCAAACUCUGCAACUUAAAGUAAAACAGUGAGUCUCAUUCUGUUACAGUGGAAUUGCCCAAAACCAGACAUCAAAAUCCUGUUUCAUCCCUUAAAAAAAGUGAAACAAAAAAUAAUUAGAAACGCAUGGUCACUGGCAUAUACUAAAGGGAGGGAAACUUUGCCACAGUGUCCAAACAAGUAUCUAUCCUAUUCUUUCUUCCAAACCCUCUGCAACACGGGCAGCAUCACACAUCUACGCCCCUGGUCUCAUGGCUUAGGCACUUGUGUGUGUCCUUAUAUCAAACCUAAACAUAGGUGAACUAACAACUCACACACUCAUAUAGCACUAAGUACCUCCAAUUGUACUGGUUGAAGCAUCAGGUGCAAAGUAGUAAUCACCUGGAAGGGAUUAACGGGUAGAAACUCGAGCAGUCCAAAACAAAGGUUGGCAUACUUUUUGAAAGGCUCCAAUUAAAUGACCAUGUACAAAGUGUGCAUGAUGUGUGCAUGACGUGUGCAUGACGUGUGCAUGACGUGUGCAUGACGUGUGCAUGAUGUGUGCAUGAUGUGUGCAUGAUGUGUGCAUGAUGUGCACACGCACACACCUCAGGACAGCCCUGCUGUCCCAAGAUUCUAGCCUUGCACACAGGAAGCAACUCUAUGGUUGUGCUCACUAGAUCUAGAUUCUAUUGCACCGCCUGAAGGAAAAACAGCAACUAAACCCUCACCCUCUAAUGGAAGCAGCGAGGGUGAAUACUAGAGAGAUUCACUGGAGCCACCUCUACAGCACACAUGUACAUAUCACAUACCAGACGCAUCUGUGUGGCACACCAAAUGCACACAUACUCAGUUUCUUUUCCUUGAUAUUGCAUCACAGAUGUGAUUAUGGUGUACAUGUCUUUUGACAUACAAUGACAGAGGAAAGGGGCCAGCAAAUGGAACAUGUUCUUCAGAUCAAGAUCUUAGUGUGAAGUGUCUGUUUGGGUUGGGUCUUUUCAGAGACCAAAAAUAAAACAAGCAAGUAAUUAAAAAAGAUGAGUUGAUACUGCUUGCAGUAACAAUGUGUCCAAGCAGAAACUGGAGUCAUGGAGAAGAACCAAAUGUGUGCAAUCCAUAUUACCAGACACAUACAGCACUAUACAGCAGUUUCUUCUGUAAUGUAAUAGACUACUGUUCAAAAAUAUUGAAAUACAGUACAUAAGGUGCUCUCAUACGUGUUGGAGAAAUGCAUGUGCAAUAUGAACCUAUUCAUUUGUUUAAGCUUUUCACUUCUCUCAUAAAUUGUUCACAGUAAUCAUAUAUCCUCUCUCAUGCACAAACACACAUACACAAACACUGAAUAAAAAAUCUCAAAAGCAAAUAUUUGACUGCAAAAUAAUUGUAAACAAACAAAAGAAAAGAAGCUAUGGCAAAGUAGCAAGCUGUUGCAUAAAGAACCUCUAAUCCUUUCACUGACAGUAUAUGAAGACGCACCACGUGGAAUGAAUUGGGCGACAUGGGACAUGAGUUGGACAUUUUCAGGUAAACAAUAGAGAAACAUGAAACAAACAGCAGUGAUAGAUUAGCAAAACAGUAGUGAACCAUUAGUAAAACAACAGUGAAAGAGGGAGCAGAGAAUGGAUGGUGGAAUGACACUUGGAUCUUGUGACCAAAUGAAUGAGUGGGGUGACCUUCCCCAGAGGAGUCCCACAGAGGAAAUAAAGAAAAACUGUGUCUGGAACCUAAACAAGAAUUUGUACGACCCCCAAAGCAACUGCUAACAAAAUUAAUUCUACAGCACAACUUGGUUCACAAACCAAUUUUCUGAUGCAAUAAAAAUACAUGAUAAUUAGCAUGGAUCCAAGUGUUAACCAAAAAGCAGUUUCAGGUGGGGAAGAAUCCACUGAGUUUUCUGCUAAACUUGUAAAAUUGACACAGAGCAGUAUCAAUGAGAUUGGUGUUCACUGUAGCCAGCAGUUAUCCACAAGCUAAGCAAAAUGACAAAUGGGUUCUGACCUUGGGGCAGUCCGGUGUCAGAAAGAUCCUCCACAACUAUACUGUUAAACCCGGAAUUAGACACAGGCUAAAACAUCGGAACAAGAGGGCAGAGAGGUGCAGCAACAUUUGGCUGUCAGCAUAUCAUUUCCACCAUAUUGUAGCUGAAUCUCAGUUGAGGUUUGGCUGUGUUAGCGUUAGGUACACAGGGCUCAGCAGACUACAAAUCUAUCAUCUACAGCAGGGGUGUCAAACUGGUUCCACAGAGAGCCAAGUGUCUGCAGGUUUUUGGUUUUUCCUUAAAAUUGGUUCCCAGUUCAGACCUAAACAACCAGGUGAGGGUAGAAACUAACCAAUUAGUGACCCAAUUAAUCAAUCACAUACAAGGUGAAAGCGAAAACCUGCAGACACUCGGCCCCUCCAAGGAACCAGUUUGAGACCUCUGAUCUACAGGCUACCCUGCAUAUAACAUCCCGUUCAUAGUAAUCCUACAGAGAUGACAUACAACCCAUAGAGAUCCUGUAGAGAUAAAACAUACCGCCCAUAGAGAUUGUAUAGGGAUAUAACAUACCAAUCAGAGAUAUAGGAUCUCCAAGACAGAGGAAAUGACCUUCUCACUUUAACAACAUUUAAAUCACUGUGAUGCAACAGAGGUAGAAUGGUCCUAAACAACUCUUGGAAUUAUAGUACAAGUCAAAAGUUUGGACACACUCACACCCCCCCCCC